AGCCUUGUACACACCGCCCGUCAAGUCAUGGGAGCCGGAAAUGGCCGAAGCCGUCUCGAUUCGGAGAUGUCUACGCCAGGUUCGGGUGACUGGGACU
rnacentral:rRNA from 1 species